rnacentral:rRNA from 1 species
GGGGGGGGGGGGGGGGGGGGGGGGGGGGGGGGGGGGGGGGGGGGGGGGGGAGCGGGGCCGGGAUGCGGGGGGGGGCGGGGGGGUAAGGGCUGGGAGGCUGCCGGGGGGGGGGGGAGCACGUCCGGAGACGGGCGCGAGGAGCGCAUACGUACUGAGGGCGACAGGGGGUGGUCGUGUGACCUUACGCUCGCAGUGUGGGCGAGGGUGGAUUAGCAAGGUGGUGGGGUCGAGGCCUACCAAUGCGAAGAGCCGUAACUGGUCUGAGAGGAUGAUCAGGCACACUAGAAGUGAGACACGGUCCAGACUCCUACGAGAGGCAGCAGUGGGGAAUAUUGGACAAUGGGCGAAAGCCUGAUCCAGACAUGCCGCGUGUGUGAAGAAGGUCUUCGGAUUGUAAAGCACUUUAAGUUGGGAGGAAGGGCAGUAAGUGAAUACCUUGCUGUUUUGACGUUACCAACAGAAUAAGCACCGGCUAACUUCGUG